UACGUAGGGUGCGAGCGUUAAUCGGAAUUACUGGGCGUAAAGGGUGCGCAGGCGGUUGAGUAAGACAGAUGUGAAAUCCCCGAGCUUAACUCGGGAAUGGCAUAUGUGACUGCUCGACUAGAGUGUGUCAGAGGGAGGUGGAAUUCCACGUGUAGCAGUGAAAUGCGUAGAUAUGUGGAAGAACACCGAUGGCGAAGGCAGCCUCCUGGGACAUAACUGACGCUCAGGCACGAAAGCGUG
rnacentral:rRNA from 1 species